rnacentral:rRNA from 1 species
GACAGAGGUGCCGAGCGUUAGGCGGAAUCACUGGGCUUAAAGCGUGUGUAGGCGGGCGAUCAAGUACCUUGUGAAAUCCCACGGCUCAACCGUGGAACCGCUGGGUAUACUGGUUGUCUUGAGCCGGCUAGGGGCGAGCGGAACAGACGGUGGAGCGGUGAAAUGCGUAGAUAUGUGGAGGAACACCGAUGGCGAAGGCAGCCCCCUGGGUCAAAACUGACGCUCAUGCACGAAAGCGUGGGGAGCAAACAGG